rnacentral:rRNA from 1 species
CCCCCUACGGGGCGCAGCAGUGGGGGAUAUUGCACAAUGGGGGGAACCCUGAUGCAGCGACGCCGCGUGGACGAUGGAGUACUUCGGUAUGUAAAGCCCUAUCAGCAGGGAAGAAAAUGACGGUACCUGACUAAGAAGCCCCGGCUAAAUACGUGCCAGCAGCCGCGGUAAUACGUAUGGGGCAAGCGUUAUCCGGAUUUACUGGGUGUAAAGGGAGCGUAGACGGCCAGACACGUCUGAAGUGAAAAUCCAGCGCUUAACGUUG